rnacentral:rRNA from 1 species
AUGUUUUUUGAGUCCCCGGAGGCGAGAGAGGUCCCGGAGGAUAACCAGACUGCGACUACUGGGAUUGUCAGAGCGACACAGGGAGCGGUGACUGAGGCACAGAUUGUGAGGAGGUUGCAGGAGUUAGCUCCCGGUGAUUUUGUUUGGGAGUUAGUACCCAUUGAGGACAGAGUUUUUAAGGUGGACUUCCCGUCUGUCGAGGACCUGCAGAAAUUGUUAAGUUUUGGCUUGUGUAAAGUUCCCGGUACUACGUGUAUUCUGGAGUUUAACGAGUGGAAACAGGUUGAGCCUAAAGGAAAACCGCUUACACAGGUAUGGCUGAGGUUUUUGGGGGCUCCAUCAAAGCCUCUGCAGGACGCUCGUGUUGUGUCUAGUUUGGGUAUCCUCGUUGGAAAAACUGAAAAAGUGGACAUGGUUUUCACUCGUGCCAAUGGGAUUUCCCGGAUUCUUGUGAGCAUUUUGGAUAUUGAGUAUGUGCCCGAUAAGGUCAACUGGACAUAUAAGGGUGAGGUCUUCCCGCUAGAGAUUGAGUUUGAGGACACCGACUUGUUUGAUGAUGCAGUUAACGGUAAUGAUGUUGAUAUGCACGAUCGUGAGGGAGGUACUGGGACUAAGGGGGCCCCGUCAGAUGAGACCAUGCGAGAGGGAUCCAACGGAUCGCACCCUCAGUCGGCCGGGACUGGACCGGAGGCUGAGCCCACUGACUCACCGGCAGUGCCCAUGGCUACUUUGCGGUUCGGUUCUUUCGAGCCAGCUUCGGCACCUCCCAGGCUUUGGAGUGACAGGGUGGAGUCGGACGAUGCUCUUGAGCACACGCUUCCUUCACUGGAGGUUGAGAGGGAGGUUGGUGCAGACUGCGGGCACAGUGAUAGCCCUACUGGACUGCUGACUGCUGCGGGAGUGACCUUGGUGUCAGCGAGCACGGGGCCGAGGGGUUGUGGGGGUGAGGGUUCGGGACUUAUAGUCCAUUCUCCCCCCGUCCCGCGGACGUUCCAGGUUUCGCCGGGGGCCUUGACUCCCAGGGGGACAGUUCCAGCGGCUGGAGGGUCCUCGAGGCAGGUGGCCUGGUCUCCUCCCUCUGCCCGGGUGGUCAGGCGGACCACCCCUCCGAGGGAUACUUCGUCCGCGCCGCAGGUUGAGGUGGGAGGAGACGGCGGGCAGGUGGCCCCGGUCGUUCUCUCCUCCCCAUUGCCUGCGGUAGGGCACUCGUCCGGCGGGAUCGGGAGCCCGCAGAUGCCUCCGCUAGUGACCUCGGCACCAACUGGAGUUUCGGUGCCAGGUUAUACUAGGGAGGAGGUGAUCGCGUUUGGCGGGAUCCCGUACCCUACUUCCGGGGGCAGACGGAUGAGUGCUCGCAUCCUCGACGUCCCGGAGGUUGAUGACAUGCAGCAGCAGUGCGCUAUGAGGGCGGCCAAGCUUCAGGAGGCUGCUUGUUCAUCGGGUAUGUCCGUUGAGUUGUCUAAUUCUUUAUUGCAUUUUUCUAAUGAGGACAUUAUAAAUAAGGCAAACCAAUUAGGAGUUUCACUAGGUGCUACAGAUAGUGAAAUUACUAAAUCGGUGAAUGAUAUUUUAGACCUGGAAGCGAAACGGGCUUUAGAGACUAUUCGUAAUCUUGCGGCAGUUAAACCUAUGAAUGAUGAUGAGAUAAAUGCGUUAGGAGUUAGAGUGCUUGAUAGCCUGUGUGAGGAUCUCGCACCCACUAACCAGGAGGCUGACGAAGAGGAUGUGCCCCUUCAGAAUGACGCUAGCAAUAUUCCAGAACCCGGUCAUGAGGAAAGGGGUCUUGAGCUUGAUAAACCUAAACGUAAGUGGAAACGGAAGAUCUAUCCCGAUUCCGCAGUCCGUAGGAGUGCUAGGAUUCGAACCACCAAAAAAUUCCAUGAUGAACUAUGA